ACAAGGACUUCACUUCUGUGGUAACUUCAGUGCUUAGAACAAUGUUCACCACUCAGUAGGGUUCGGUGAGGAAUCUCUACGGAGGAGAACCGAGUUGGUGUAUAUGGCAUGACAGGCCAGUGGGGGAGCAGGAGCUGGAACGCAGGGUUCCUGAAGAUGAAACUGAGUGACCAGCUCCCAUUGUGCUCAAGUCUAAGUGACCUUCCCAGAUCCUUCUCCUCAGAAUCAACCUCUCUCUGCCCCAUGCCCUUUGCCCUCUUGCCUUUUGCCUACACCUUUACUUGGCCAACCUCAAUCUACCUUGUAUUAAAAUGAUGUGCACAGGAAUUUAUCUUUCCCCAAAUAAAUGGACAUCUAUCACUUGU